CCUACGGUUGGCAGCAGUGGGGAAUAUUGCGCAAUGGGCGCAAGCCUGACGCAGCGACGCCGCGUGAGGGAUGAAGGUCCUCGGAUCGUAAACCUCUGUCAGCAGGGAAGAAAGGCCACUGAGCUAAUCAGCAGUGAAUUGACGGUACCUGCAAAGGAAGCACCGGCUCACUCCGUGCCAGCAGCCGCGGUAAUACGGAGGGUGCGAGCGUUAAUCGGAAUUACUGGGCGUAGAGCGCUCGUAGGCGGUAUGUCAAGUCAAGGGUGAAAGCCUCGCGGCCAACGUGGGGACUGCCUUUGAAACUGGUAAUCUUGAGUGUGUGAGAGGAUAGUGGAAUUCGAGGUGUAGGAGUGAAAUGCGUAGAUAUCUGGAGGAACAUCAGUGGCGAAGGCGACAAUCUGGCACAUAACUGACGCUGAGGAGCGAAAGCGUGGGUAGCAAACAGGAUUAGAUACCCUAGUAGUC
rnacentral:rRNA from 1 species